GUCGUCGAAUAUCGACGUCAUAAACACCAAAGUUGAUCGUGUUUAUGUCGUCGAAUAUCAACGUCAUCAACACGAAAGUUGAUCGUGUUUAUGUCGUCGAAUAUCGACGUCAUAAACACGUAAGUUGUUUGUGUUUAUGACGUCGAAUAUCGACGUCAUAAACACCAAAGUUGAUCGCGUUUAUGACGUCGAAUAUUGACGUCAUAAACACCAAAGUUGAUCGUGUUUAUCACGUCGAAUAUCGACGUC
rnacentral:miRNA from 1 species